UACGUAGGGGCUAGCGUUAUCCGGAUUUACUGGGCGUAAAGGGUGCGUAGGCGGUCUUUCAAGUCAGAGGUGAAAGGCUACGGCUCAACCGUAGUAAGCCUUUGAAACUGGGAAACUUGAGUGCAGGAGAGGAGAGUGGAAUUCCUAGUGUAGCGGUGAAAUGCGUAGAUAUUAGGAGGAACACCAGUUGCGAAGGCGGCUCUCUGGACUGUAACUGACACUGAGGCACGAAAGCGUGGGGAGCAAACAGGAUUAGAUACCCCGGUAGUCCCUGAG
rnacentral:rRNA from 1 species